rnacentral:rRNA from 1 species
AGUGAACGCUGGCGGUAGGCCUAACACAUGCAAGUCGAACGGCAGCACAGGAGAGCUUGCUCUCUGGGUGGCGAGUGGCGGACGGGUGAGGAAUACAUCGGAAUCUACUCUGUCGUGGGGGAUAACGUAGGGAAACUUACGCUAAUACCGCAUACGACCUACGGGUGAAAGCAGGGGAUCUUCGGACCUUGCGCGAUUGAAUGAGCCGAUGUCGUAUUAGCUAGUUGGCGGGGUAAAGGCCCACCAAGGCGACGAUCCGUAGCUGGGCUGAGAGGAUGAUCGGCAACACUGGAACUGGGACACGGGCCAGACGCCUACGGGAGGCAGCAGUGGGGAAUAUUGGACAAUGGGCGCAAGCCUGAUCCAGCCAUACCGCGUGGGUGAAGAAGGCCUUCGGGUUGUAAAGCCCUUUUGUUGGGAAAGAAAUCCAGCUGGCUAAUACCCGGUUGGGAUGACGGUACCCAAAGAAUAAGCACCGGCUAACUUCGUGCCAGCAGCCGCCGUAA